GCUCAGUAACACGUGGACAAUCUGCCCUUGGGUCUGGGAUAACUCCGGGAAACUGGAAAUAAUACCAGAUAGGUCAUAGAUGCUGGAAUGCUCUAUGGCCCAAAGCUCCGGCGCCCAAGGAUGAGUCUGCGGCCUAUCAGGUCGUAGUGGGCGUAAUGGACCCACUAGCCUACGACGGGUACGGGUUGUGAGAGCAAGAGCCCGGAGAUGGAUUCUGAGACAUGAAUCCAGGCCCUACGGGGCGCAGCAGGCGCGAAACCUUUACAAUGCGCGCAAGCGCGAUAAGGGGACCUCGAGUGUUCCUACCUAGUAGGAACUGUCCAGUUGUCUAAAAAACAACUGUUAGCAAGAGCCGGGCAAGACCGGUGCCAGCCGCCGCGGUAACACCGGCGGCUCGAGUGGUGACCGCUUUUAUUGGGUCUAAAGGGUCUGUAGCCGGUCUAACAAGUUCUUUGGAAAAUCUGGUCGCUUAACGAUCAGGCUGCUAGGGGAUACUGUUAGACUUGGGACCGGGAGAGGCUAGAGGUACUUUAGGGGUAGGGGUGAAAUCCUGUGAUCCUUAAAGGACCACCAGUGGCGAAGGCGUCUAGCUAGAACGGAUCCGACGGUGAGGGACGAAAGCUGGGGGCACGAACCGGAUUAGAUACCCGGGUAGUCCCAGCCGUAAACGAUGCGAGCUAGGUGUCAGUUUUACUGCGAGUAAAAUUGGUGCCGUAGGGAAGCCGUGAAGCUCGCCACCUGGGAAGUACGGCCGCAAGGCUGAAACUUAAAGGAAUUGGCGGGGGAGCACUACAACGGGUGGAGCCUGCGGUUUAAUUGGAGUCAA
rnacentral:rRNA from 1 species